CAUCUUAGCUGUUUUGGGUGUUUUACAGAUAACAGUAGUGCCUGGACUGCUACUCUGUGGUAGCUUGUCUAGCAAUUCAGCAACAAAGGUGUUCCCACCAGCAGCAGUCUAAACAGAAGAGAGAGGGAAAAUAUUUCUGAUGGCUUUUAACCUUUGGCUCCUAAUUGAUGCAGAAGUUUCACAUUUUUUUCUGUGUGACAGUUCAGCAGAGAGGUUUAAGUCAAUCAAAGAAAUACUUGUCAUCGUGAAACUCUGCCGUAUAUUUCUAUAAGGGGACAAAAUUUGUUGGCUUUCAUAAUAAUUCUGUGGUUGUGAAAAAGUGGGGUUUUGCCAUCUAUCUGGAAAUUCCUAGCAGCUACUGCGUUUGAAUUGCAAGGUGUUUCCAUGUGUGCUGAGUACCCCCACUCCCAGCAGUGAAGAUCAAGGCAAGACAUUUGGCAACUUUUGGAGAGUGGUUCAGCUGUUUGAAUGUCCAUGUUUCCUUCAGGAUUAAUCACUUCACUCUUCACCCUUUAUUGACUGAAUUGUUUCAAUCUUAGACUGAAAUGGGAUCUAAAAUACCCACAUGUUGGCACCAACACCAUAGACAUUUGGAAUUAGGAGAGCUGAGUCCUAGCUUUGUGAUUAUUUUAAAUACAGUUGUCUGCAUUUGGUAUCACUAUCCUGGCUAGAUUAGGAACUUUUAAUUUUAGUGUUUUUGUAUCUUAAAUCUGUGUCUGUCAACUUCUGGCACAUCUCCUAGCUUUGCCUACAGUUCAGACAAAUGCAUUUGAACCACAGUAUAUUUGCAGUCCUGAGACUAACUUGCAGAAUAAAGCCCCAAACACAGAAGAAAAUCUAAUCUCUCCUAAAUGAGUGAAGGAAAACAAACCCUCUUUAUUGAACUUCAUAUGCUGUUCUGGCACACUCUUAUUAUAAACAGUUGUUGAUUAUCUAAUUCUUCUGGGCAUACAAGCAAUGCCAGAAUGUCAGUUUUACAUUAAAAGGAUGCAGUUUAAAAAACAAAACAAAACUCUAAAUACAGAAAUAAAAUAUGUGUUUAAUUAGGGCUUUAAUCUUUCCUGAGCUCAUUAAAAUAAAUAAAUAAAUAAGAAAACUGGGGAAUGGAUGCCCAUAGGGUCUCAUAAUAUUUUCCUAGUGUAAAAACUGCUCUUUCAAUAUAUAUUAUUAAACAUCCAUUAGUGUUAGUAAUUAAAUUCAGUGUUUGGAUAUCCAUUUAUUUCUCCUGAUUGCAUGUUCUGGUCCAGAUCAUUGUUAAACGAGCAACACCAUUAUAGAAUUGAUAGAACUGUUUGGACAAUUGUUUUUCAGUUAAAGCUGAGACAUAGAAUCACAGAAUGGUUUGGGUUGGCAGGGAGCUUAAAGCCCAUCUGAUUCCACUCCCCUGCCAUGGGAACACCCCUUCCCACCAGCCCAGGUUGCCCCCAGACCCAUCCAGCCUGGCCUUAGCACUGCCAGGGAUGGGGCAAUAAGGAUUACUGCAAAACUUCCAAAUAUUGUCCUGAAAAUCCCACAGAUCUUUUUCAGGUAAGGAGGUGUAAAGUGGCAUGCAAUCUGGAAUUAAUC